rnacentral:rRNA from 1 species
AUGUGCUCCAUUGACCUCGGCCGCCUUAACUACGGGAUCAUUUCGCUCAUCCCUAAGGUAUCUGGGGCCUCAGACAUCCGUCAGUUCUGGCCUAUCACCGUUAUCAACGUGAUCUUCUGGAUUCUGGCGAAAGGGUACGCCAAUAGGGUGUCCGUGCUCGCUGACCGCAUUACCCACCCACAGACCGCCUUCAUUCAGGUACGGUAUAUUCUGGAUGGGGUGUUAGUCUUCCAUGAAGUCCUCCAUGAGGUCCGGUCUAAACACCUCAAGGCAGUCUUCCUAAAGAUUGACUUCCAUAAGGCCUACGAUACUGUUAGCUGGCCCUUCCUUCGGGAAGUUUUGCUCCGGAAGGGCUUCGACGACCGCUGGGUCACGCGUGUGACACAGAUGGUGUCCUGCGGUCGCACUGCCGUGAACAUCAAUGGGGAGAUUGGCCCUUACUUCCCCACGCUAUGUGGGGUUAGACAAGGUGACCCCUUCUCCCCAUUCCUGUUCAACAUGGUGGUCGAUGCGUUGGCUGCCAUCCUUGACAAGGCAAAGCUUGCGGGACAUAUUCGUGGGAUCACCCCCACCUGA